AUUGAACGCUGGCGGCACGCCUAACACAUGCAAGUCGAGCGGCAACAUGCCCUGUAGCAAUACAGGGUGAUGGCAAGCGGCGGACGGGCGAGGAACACGUAGGAAUCUGCCUUUCAGAGGGGGACAACCAAGGGAAACUUUGGCUAAUACCGCAUAAUCUCUGAGGAGCAAAGCUGCCGCAAGGUGGCGCUGAAAGAGGAGCCUGCGUCGGAUUAGCUAGUUGGUGGGGUAAAAGCCUACCAAGGCAAUGAUCGGUAACUGGUCUGAGAGGACGAACAGUCACACUGGGACUGAGACAAGGCCCAGACCCCGACGGGAGGCAGCAGUGGGGAAUCUUGGACAAUGGGGGAAACCCUGAUCCAGCGAUGCCGCGUGAGUGAAGAAGGCCCUCGGGUCGUAAAGCUCUUUAGGUUGGAAAGAAGGGUGUUGGUGGAUAAUACCAGCACUUUGACGGUACCAACAGAAUAAGCACCGGCAAACUCUGUGCCAGCCGCCGCCGUAA
rnacentral:rRNA from 1 species